AUUGAACGCUGGCGGAAUGCUUUACACAUGCAAGUCGAACGGUAGAGGGGGCAACCCCUCGAGAGUGGCGAACGGGUGAGUAAUAUAUCGGAACGUGCCCAGUCGUGGGGGAUAACGUAGCGAAAGUUACGCUAAUACCGCAUACGAUCUAAGGAUGAAAGCGGGGGAUCGCAAGACCUCGCGCGAUUGGAGCGGCCGAUAUCAGAUUAGGUAGUUGGUGGGGUAGAGGCUCACCAAGCCAACGAUCUGUAGCUGGUCUGAGAGGACGACCAGCCACACUGGAACUGAGACACGGUCCAGACUCCUACGGGAGGCAGCAGUGGGGAAUUUUGGACAAUGGACGCAAGUCUGAUCCAGCCAUUCCGCGUGCAGGAUGAAGGCCCUCGGGUUGUAAACUGCUUUUGUACGGAACGAAAAGGUCUCUCUUAAUACGGGGGGCUCAUGACGGUACCGUAAGAAUAAGCACCGGCUAACUACGUGCCAGCCGCCGCCGUAA
rnacentral:rRNA from 1 species